rnacentral:rRNA from 1 species
AGGGGCAGCACGGAGCAGCAAUGCUUGGGUGGCGACCGGCGCACGGGUGCGUAACGCGUAUGUAACUUGCCCUCCGGUCUGGGAUAGCCCGGCGAAAGCCGGAUUAAUACCGGAUAACACAGGGGUUCCGCAUGAAACAAUUUGUUAAAGAGGAAUUGCCGGAGGAUAGGCAUGCGUUCCAUUAGGCAGUUGGCAGGGUAACGGCCUACCAAACCAACGAUGGAUAGGGGUUCUGAGAGGAAGGUCCCCCACACUGGUACUGAGAUACGGACCAGACUCCUACGGGAGGCAGCAGUGAGGAAUAUUGGUCAAUGGUCGGAAGACUGAACCAGCCAAGUCGCGUGCAGGAAGAAGGCCUUACGGGUUGUAAACUGCUUUUAUGCAGGAGUAAGAUGCUCCACGCGCUGGAGCAGUGAAAGUACUGCAGGAAGAAGCAUCGGCUAACUCCGUGCCAGCAGCCGCGGUAAUACGGAGGAUGCGAGCGUUAUCCGGAUUUAUUGGGUUUAAAGGGUGCGUAGGUGGGCGAUUAAGUCAGUGGUGAAAGGUUGUCGCUUAACGAUAAGAAUGCCAUUGAAACUGGUUGCCUUGAGUAUGAAUGAAGUAGGCGGAAUGCGAAGUGUAGCGGUGAAAUGCUUAGAUAUUUCGCAGAACUCCGAUUGCGAAGGCAGCUUACUAAGUCACAACUGACACUGAAGCACGAAAGCGUGGGUAUCAAACAGGAUUAGAUACCCUGGUAGUCCACGCUGUAAACGAUGAUUACUAAUUGUUUGCGAUAAACGGUAAGCGAUAAAGCGAAAGCGUUAAGUAAUCCACCUGGGGAGUACGCCGGCAACGGUGAAACUCAAAGGAAUUGACGGGGGCCCGCACAAGCGGAGGAACAUGUGGUUUAAUUCGAUGAUACGCGAGGAACCUUACCCGGGUUUGAACGCGGCAGGACGUACGGUGAAAGCCGUAUUCCAGCGAUGGUCUGUCGCGAGGUGCUGCAUGGUUGUCGUCAGCUCGUGCCGUGAGGUGUCGGCUUAAGUGCCAUAACGAGCGCAACCCUUAUCGCCAGUUACCAGCGUGUAAAGACGGGAACUCUGGCGAGACUGCCGGCGUAAGCUGCGAGGAAGGUGGGGAUGACGUCAAAUCAGCACGGCCCUUAUAUCCGGGGCGACACACGUGUUACAAUGGCAGGGACAAAGAGCAGCUACCGUGCGAGCGGAAGCGAAUCUCCAAACCCUGUCUCAGUUCGGAUCGGAGUCUGCAACUCGACUCCGUGAAGCUGGAUUCGCUAGUAAUCGCGCAUCAGCCAUGGCGCGGUGAAUACGUUCCCGGGCCUUGUACACACCGCCGUGG